AGGGGAGAGUUUGAUCCUGGCUCAGAUUGAACGCUGGCGGCAGGCCUAACACAUGCAAGUCGAGCGGAUGAAGGGAGCUUGCUCCUGGAUUCAGCGGCGGACGGGUGAGUAAUGCCUAGGAAUCUGCCUGGUAGUGGGGGAUAACGUCCGGAAACGGGCGCUAAUACCGCAUACGUCCUGAGGGAGAAAGUGGGGGAUCUUCGGACCUCACGCUAUCAGAUGAGCCUAGGUCGGAUUAGCUAGUUGGUGGGGUAAAGGCCUACCAAGGCGACGAUCCGUAACUGGUCUGAGAGGAUGAUCAGUCACACUGGAACUGAGACACGGUCCAGACUCCUACGGGAGGCAGCAGUGGGGAAUAUUGGACAAUGGGCGAAAGCCUGAUCCAGCCAUGCCGCGU
rnacentral:rRNA from 1 species